GUUAAGCGACUAAGCGUACACGGUGGAUGCCCUGGCAGUCAGAGGCGAUGAAGGACGUGCUAAUCUGCGAUAAGCGUCGGUAAGGUGAUAUGAACCGUUAUAACCGGCGAUUUCCGAAUGGGGAAACCCAGUGUGAUUCGUCACACUAUCAUUAACUGAAUCCAUAGGUUAAUGAGGCGAACCGGGGGAACUGAAACAUCUAAGUACCCCGAGGAAAAGAAAUCAACCGAGAUUCCCCCAGUAGCGGCGAGCGAACGGGGAGCAGCCCAGAGCCUGAAUCAGUGUGUGUGUUAGUGGAAGCGUCUGGAAAGGCGCGCGAUACAGGGUGACAGCCCCGUACACAAAAAUGCACAUACUGUGAGCUCGAUGAGUAGGGCGGGACACGUGGUAUCCUGUCUGAAUAUGGGGGGACCAUCCUCCAAGGCUAAAUACUCCUGACUGACCGAUAGUGAACCAGUACCGUGAGGGAAAGGCGAAAAGAACCCCGGCGAGGGGAGUGAAAAAGAACCUGAAACCGUGUACGUACAAGCAGUGGGAGCACGCUUAGGCGUGUGACUGCGUACCUUUUGUAUAAUGGGUCAGCGACUUAUAUUCUGUAGCAAGGUUAACCGAAUAGGGGAGCCGAAGGGAAACCGAGUCUUAACUGGGCGUUAAGUUGCAGGGUAUAGACCCGAAACCCGGUGAUCUAGCCAUGGGCAGGUUGAAGGUUGGGUAACACUAACUGGAGGACCGAACCGACUAAUGUUGAAAAAUUAGCGGAUGACUUGUGGCUGGGGGUGAAAGGCCAAUCAAACCGGGAGAUAGCUGGUUCUCCCCGAAAGCUAUUUAGGUAGCGCCUCGUGAAUUCAUCUCCGGGGGUAGAGCACUGUUUCGGCAAGGGGGUCAUCCCGACUUACCAACCCGAUGCAAACUGCGAAUACCGGAGAAUGUUAUCACGGGAGACACACGGCGGGUGCUAACGUCCGUCGUGAAGAGGGAAACAACCCAGACCGCCAGCUAAGGUCCCAAAGUCAUGGUUAAGUGGGAAACGAUGUGGGAAGGCCCAGACAGCCAGGAUGUUGGCUUAGAAGCAGCCAUCAUUUAAAGAAAGCGUAAUAGCUCACUGGUCGAGUCGGCCUGCGCGGAAGAUGUAACGGGGCUAAACCAUGCACCGAAGCUGCGGCAGCGACGCUGAUGCGUUGUUGGGUAGGGGAGCGUUCUGUAAGCCUGUGAAGGUGUGCUGUGAGGCAUGCUGGAGGUAUCAGAAGUGCGAAUGCUGACAUAAGUAACGAUAAAGCGGGUGAAAAGCCCGCUCGCCGGAAGACCAAGGGUUCCUGUCCAACGUUAAUCGGGGCAGGGUGAGUCGACCCCUAAGGCGAGGCCGAAAGGCGUAGUCGAUGGGAAACAGGUUAAUAUUCCUGUACUUGGUGUUACUGCGAAGGGGGGACGGAGAAGGCUAUGUUGGCCGGGCGACGGUUGUCCCGGUUUAAGCGUGUAGGCUGGUUUUCCAGGCAAAUCCGGAAAAUCAAGGCUGAGGCGUGAUGACGAGGCACUACGGUGCUGAAGCAACAAAUGCCCUGCUUCCAGGAAAAGCCUCUAAGCAUCAGGUAACAUCAAAUCGUACCCCAAACCGACACAGGUGGUCAGGUAGAGAAUACCAAGGCGCUUGAGAGAACUCGGGUGAAGGAACUAGGCAAAAUGGUGCCGUAACUUCGGGAGAAGGCACGCUGAUAUGUAGGUGAAGCGACUUGCUCGUGGAGCUGAAAUCAGUCGAAGAUACCAGCUGGCUGCAACUGUUUAUUAAAAACACAGCACUGUGCAAACACGAAAGUGGACGUAUACGGUGUGACGCCUGCCCGGUGCCGGAAGGUUAAUUGAUGGGGUCAGCGCAAGCGAAGCUCUUGAUCGAAGCCCCGGUAAACGGCGGCCGUAACUAUAACGGUCCUAAGGUAGCGAAAUUCCUUGUCGGGUAAGUUCCGACCUGCACGAAUGGCGUAAUGAUGGCCAGGCUGUCUCCACCCGAGACUCAGUGAAAUUGAACUCGCUGUGAAGAUGCAGUGUACCCGCGGCAAGACGGAAAGACCCCGUGAACCUUUACUAUAGCUUGACACUGAACAUUGAGCCUUGAUGUGUAGGAUAGGUGGGAGGCUUUGAAGUGUGGACGCCAGUCUGCAUGGAGCCGGCCUUGAAAUACCACCCUUUAAUGUUUGAUGUUCUAACGUUGACCCGUGAUCCGGGUUGCGGACAGUGUCUGGUGGGUAGUUUGACUGGGGCGGUCUCCUCCUAAAGAGUAACGGAGGAGCACGAAGGUUGGCUAAUCCUGGUCGGACAUCAGGAGGUUAGUGCAAUGGCAUAAGCCAGCUUGACUGCGAGCGUGACGGCGCGAGCAGGUGCGAAAGCAGGUCAUAGUGAUCCGGUGGUUCUGAAUGGAAGGGCCAUCGCUCAACGGAUAAAAGGUACUCCGGGGAUAACAGGCUGAUACCGCCCAAGAGUUCAUAUCGACGGCGGUGUUUGGCACCUCGAUGUCGGCUCAUCACAUCCUGGGGCUGAAGUAGGUCCCAAGGGUAUGGCUGUUCGCCAUUUAAAGUGGUACGCGAGCUGGGUUUAGAACGUCGUGAGACAGUUCGGUCCCUAUC
rnacentral:rRNA from 1 species